AAAGUUAGGAAAUAUGGCACUGGCAAUACAGCACUCUGUUUGGACCAGCAAUAGCGCAUUUUGAUUGGACUAGCAAUAGCACAUUCUGAUUGGACGGGCAAUAGCGCAUUCCAAUUGGCUAUCGUCAGCUGGCUUAGUCAUGUAACAAACUGACAAGACAAAUCUAACAAAACUUAGUUGAUCGUCAUGUCAAAACAAACUGUAACACCGCCGUUUUGUGCUUGUGGCCUUAAUGUUUUUCUCAUUAUGCUGGUGCAACAUGGCUGGGAAAAACUGGUCAAACGCGAACCUUGAGUGCAACUUUCCUUUUUUAACUGUAUUUAAUAGCUCUGAGUUUCCUUUUCAGUGACUUGAAGAAGCGAAUUGCUGUAGAAGGAGACGCAAUAACACGAGCUAAAGAAUUCCUACGACGACAAAGACGUUCAGUACAGAGAAGACAAGCAGCCCUAGAAGAUGCUCGGAAGGAAUGGACAAAUGAUAUGUCACAAAACUUUGCAAGAGGAAAGCCGCUGUCCAGUCGUAACGCUCAUUUCUUGGAAGAUGUGAGAACACGUUUAGACGAGGAAGAGGCGGAACUCGGAGUGGUAAUGGAUAACAUGAGCGCUGGCCAAGAAUUGUUGAGACNACGAGGUCAG